AUCCCACAACAAAAUACAAAUAACUCAAACCAUAUUAUGCAGUCAUCUAAAUACUAAAUUACAAAUCCCUAAUAAUACAAAUAACAAUAAUUCAAAUUCAAAUUAUAAAGUAAGGUAAUAUCUUUAAUUCUCUUCAUUUGUCUUUUCCACCUUGAAAACAAAAAUUCUACACCAAAAAGUAAAUAAAAUAUUAUUAACAAUUUAACAUAUUGCAAUAUUGAUAAUAAUCAUUGUAAAAUUUUAAAAUAUCAAAUAUAUAGUAAAUUUGUAAUAUUUUUAAGGAAAUAAUAAUUAAACAAGAUAAAACUUUACUUAUAACACUCACACAAAUCCAAGGAUUUGGAGCAGUGGCAAAACGUAGUACUUAAUGGAUGCAAAAAUUAAAAAAAAAAAAAAAGAUUUGGAGAUGGAAAUUAAGGGAAAGAGAUG
rnacentral:lncRNA from 1 species